rnacentral:rRNA from 1 species
GGGAUUAGCGGCGGACGGGUGAGUAACACGUGAGUAACCUGCCUUAGACAUUGGGAUAGCCUCGGGAAACCGGGAUUAAUACCAAAUAAAAUCAUAAUGACACAUGUCAUAACGAUCAAAACUCCGGUGGUCUAAGAUGGACUCGCGUCCCAUUAGCUAGUUGGUAGAGUAAAAGCCUACCAAGGCGACGAUGGGUAGCCGGCCUGAGAGGGUGAACGGCCACAUUGGAACUGAGAAACGGUCCAA